UAAGAGGUCCCGCCUGCCCGGUGACUAUAUGUUCAACGGCCGCGGAAUCCUAACCGUGCGAAGGUAGCGCAAUCACUUGUUUCUUAAAUAGGGACCUGUAUGAAUGGCUUCACGAGGGCUUAACUGUCUCCUCCCUCCAGUCAAUGAAAUUGAUCUUCUCGUGAAGAAGCGAGAAUAAAAACAUAAGACGAGAAGACCCUAUGGAGCUUUAAAUAUUUAGACAAUUAUGUUAAUUACCCCUUAAAAAGGCCCUAAACUUAAAUAAUUUUGUCUCCGUGUUUUAGGUUGGGGCGACCAUGGGGCAAUAUAUAACCCCCUUGUAGAAUGGGAAAACUGACUGCCUAGAAUCAAGAGGGACACCUCAAGAGAACAGAACUUCUGACUAUUUAAUGAUCCGGCAAUGCCGAUCAGCGGACUAAGUUACCCUAGGGAUAACAGCGCAAUCCUCUCCAAGAGCUCCUAUCGCCGAGAGGGUUUACGACCUCGAUGUUGGAUCAGGACAUCCUAAUGGUGCAGCCGCUAUUAAGGGUUCGUUUGUUCAACG
rnacentral:rRNA from 1 species